rfam:Glycine soja cultivar W05 scaffold712_106, whole genome shotgun sequence.
GCCGAGCUGAGUUACGCCAGCUUGUGACCUAAGUGGGGGCACCAGGGUGAUGGAACAGUUCUUUGGCUUUGCUGGGUUGGGCUGUGGCUGUAAUAUGUUGGCCUGUCCGCUCCAAGUUGAGAGUUAAAUCAUGGGACUUAGGCGAAAGCAUAGGUCUCCUGGUUUAUAGAGUGGAGGGCAAUGCGUGAGGCUGGUUUCACAGAGCAGCGAAUACUUCCCACUCCCGGCAGUGGAAGGAUAACAGGCUGCUGCAACCAUAGUCCAUAAUGGCCUGGUGAGUCUAGAUGCUUGGACCAUCACUUUU